GUGGAGCAUGUGGCUUAAUUUGACUCAACGCGGGGAAUCUUACUAGGUCCGGACCGAUUCUAUGAUCGUCGUACUGUGGGGUGCUACGUGAUUACUGGAUGAGUGGUGCAUGGCCGUUCUUAGUUCGUGGUGUUAAUUGUCUACUUAAUUGUUUCGGUUCCAGAUAUCUUACGGUACGGAACUGAUAACGAACGAGAUCGAGGCCCGUGGUUGCGUAUGUUUGAAUUCGGUAUUACUACGGGGAUCGCGUAUUACUCCACGGUACGAUCGAAAGACUCGGCAAUAACAGGUCUGUGAUGCCCUCAGAUGUUCUAGGCUGCACACGUGCUACAGUGUGGCGCCGUAUCGUGUGUGUAUGCAUAGAUAUCUGAUAAGAUCCCCCGCACCGAGUCAUAACUGGUCACACGGUUGGACUCACCGAUUGUCAAUUAUUCGGUAUACUAA
rnacentral:rRNA from 1 species